UACAGAGGUCCCAAGCGUUGUUCGGAUUCACUGGGCGUAAAGGGUGCGUAGGUGGCUUGGUAAGUUUGAUGUGAAAUCCCCGGGCUCAACCCGGGAACUGCGUCCGAUACUGGAAGGCUUGAAUCCGGGAGAGGGAUGCGGAAUUCCAGGUGUAGCGGUGAAAUGCGUAGAUAUCUGGAGGAACACCGGUGGCGAAGGCGGCAUCCUGGACCGGUAUUGACGCUGAGGCGCGAAAGCCAGGGGAGCAAACGGG
rnacentral:rRNA from 1 species